rnacentral:rRNA from 1 species
UACGGAGGAUCCAAGCGUUGUCCGGAUUUAUUGGGUUUAAAGGGUGCGUAGGCGGAUAAUUAAGUCAGUGGUGAAAUCUUGCGGCUCAACCGUAAAAUUGCCAUUGAAACUGAUUAUCUUGAGUACAGUUGAGGUGGGCGGAAUGUAUCAUGUAGCGGUGAAAUGCGUAGAUAUCAGGAGGGAACACCUGCGGUGUAGACGGCUUUCUGGACCAUUGCUGACGCUGAGACACGAAAGCGUGGGUAGCAAACAGG